UCGUAUAAGCAGGUGAUUGCGUCAAUGCGCAUUCAUCGUCUCGCUUUGUUAACUAAGAACCCAUUCAUCAAAUAUAUAAAGCUCUUCGAAGCAUCUCUACCUCAAUUUGAUCCAGUCAUCUUCUUUAAGAUGGAGAACCUUGUCAUUGUUUGUCUAGCAGUCUUCCUCGCUGUGACAGUUGCCAGCAGCCUGCCUCGCGCCAUUAAACCACAAAGUCAUUAUAACGAAGAGGGGGAGAGCUUGGAUCUAACGAAACGAGGCUGUAGGGAUCGCUAUCCCAGCAUGUGCACGAAAACGAGAUACAGCAAAAUCUGCAACAUCCGGGGCAGUCCGAGCUUUGCUUUUGUCCGAACUCGUUGCCCAAAGACCUGCGGAAUGUGCCACUAAAUGAAUUUUGUUCAUGUGAAGACAGAUGAAAAUUUCUAAGUCCAUACUUAUAUCAUGGCCAGUCUGACUUCAAGAAAAUUCCCAUCGUUUGCACUCACACAACUAACAUGUAGAUCACUACACUGUAAGCUAGAGGCAAUAAAAUUAAACUAUGUGUAAAUGAACCGUC